rnacentral:rRNA from 1 species
AGUCGACGAACUCUGGUAUUGAUUGGUGCUUGCAUCAUGAUUUACAUUUGAGUGAGUGGCGAACUGGUGAGUAACACGUGGGAAACCUGCCCAGAAGCGGGGGAUAACACCUGGAAACAGAUGCUAAUACCGCAUAACAACUUGGACCGCAUGGUCCGAGUUUGAAAGAUGGCUUCGGCUAUCACUUUUGGAUGGUCCCGCGGCGUAUUAGCUAGAUGGUGGGGUAACGGCUCACCAUGGCAAUGAUACGUAGCCGACCUGAGAGGGUAAUCGGCCACAUUGGGACUGAGACACGGCCCAAACUCCUACGGGAGGCAGCAGUAGGGAAUCUUCCACAAUGGACGAAAGUCUGAUGGAGCAACGCCGCGUGAGUGAAGAAGGGUUUCGGCUCGUAAAACUCUGUUGUUAAAGAAGAACAUAUCUGAGAGUAACUGUUCAGGUAUUGACGGUAUUUAACCAGAAAGCCACGGCUAACUACGUGCCAGCAGCCGCGGUAAUACGUAGGUGGCAAGCGUUGUCCGGAUUUAUUGGGCGUAAAGCGAGCGCAGGCGGUUUUUUAAGUCUGAUGUGAAAGCCUUCGGCUCAACCGAAGAAGUGCAUCGGAAACUGGGAAACUUGAGUGCAGAAGAGGACAGUGGAACUCCAUGUGUAGCGGUGAAAUGCGUAGAUAUAUGGAAGAACACCAGUGGCGAAGGCGGCUGUCUGGUCUGUAACUGACGCUGAGGCUCGAAAGUAUGGGUAGCAAACAGGAUUAGAUACCCUGGUAGUCCAUACCGUAAACGAUGAAUGCUAAGUGUUGGAGGGUUUCCGCCCUUCAGUGCUGCAGCU